rnacentral:rRNA from 1 species
UGGGGACACAGUUGGAAACGACUGCUAAUACCCAAUGUGCCGAAAGGUGAAAGAUUUAUCGUCUGAAGAUGGGCUCGCGUGCUGAUUAGCUAGAUGGUGGGGUAAGAGCCUACCAUGGCAACGAUCAGUAGCUGGUCUGAGAGGAUGAGCAGCCACACUGGGACUGAGACACGGCCCAGACUCCUACGGGAGGCAGCAGUGGGGAAUUUUCCGCAAUGGGCGAAAGCCUGACGGAGCAAUACCGCGUGAGGGAGGAAGGUCCUUGGAUUGUAAACCUCUUUUAUCAGGGAAGAAGUUCUGACGGUACCUGAUGAAUAAGCAUCGGCUAACUCCGUGCCAGCAGCCGCGGUAAUACGGAGGAUGCAAGCGUUAUCCGGAAUUAUUGGGCGUAAAGCGUCCGUAGGUGGUUAUGCAAGUCUGCCGUUAAAGAAUGGAGCUUAACUCCAUAGGAGCGGUGGAAACUGCAAGACUAGAGUACAGUAGGGGUAGCAGGAAUUCCCAGUGUAGCGGUGAAAUGCGUAGAUAUAGGGAAGAUCAUCGGUGGCGACGCGUGCUACUGGGCUGAAACUGACACUGAGGGACGACAGCUGGGAUAGCAAGUGGGGAUACGAUACCCCCGUUGAAAAAAAA